UGACAGCCAUAUCAUGUUGAAACACCAGUUCCCGUACCAUCACAAAGUUAAGCAAUGUUGAGCCUGGUCAAUACCUAGAUGUAUGACCACUUGGAAAUACCAGGUGUUGUA